GCUUUCCGUCUCUAUGGCCUUCCCUAUUCUAGAUAGUUCCUAUAAAUGGAAUCACACGGUCUGUGACCUUUGAUGUCUGGCUUCUUUCACUUGGUUCAUCCACAUUGUAACAUGUGUCAGUACUUCAUUCCUUUUCAUGGCUUAAUCCCGUUGGUUGUAUACGCCACAUUUUGUUUAUCCGGUCAUGUGCUGAUGGACAUUUGGGUUGUGCUCACCUCUUGUCUGUUGUGAAUAAUGUUGCGGUGAACUAUUGUGUGCAAGUAUUUGUCUCAGUGCCUCUUGUAUUUUGCUCUCUUACAACUUUGAAAGGCAACCUGUUGAUAUAAAAUUUAUUUUUCUGAGUACGCAUGUAUGUUUCCCUGCCUUUUGCCCUAAGAAAAAAAGGAAAUUUGGUCUGGCAGUUCCAAAAGAGACGAAUGAAGAGACAGGGAACUCAGGCAACCUGGCUGUACUAAAGGGCUGCCAAUCCUCUUAAGGGAAGAUGUCGGUUGACUUCAAGCAAACGCGUCAGAUAUGCCACCCGAGUGACACUGAGCCCAUUUAAGCUUUAUGUGACCCAUCCUGGACGUCUCUGGGAACGGUGCCUGGGCUGUUAAGAAGUGAAGCAGUGCAAUGACCAGCUGCAGAAGCGAGUUUAGGCUCCUCUGCCUCGGGAGCCAACCAGAGACCUGAACUCGGAACCUCACCACAUUUGAUGUACUUCUGCCCUUUUGCCCUCUUUCUGGUCCUUUCAAGUCCUACCUGGAGACACUAGCUGUACUUGUACUCGAGCAAUGUGGUGCUCUUUUCAGUCAAGCAAUUAAAUUCAGCUUUGUUUCAGAUUACGGUUUGCUGGUCUUUGUCCAUUUCCUCCUAAUGAUCCUAACCAGGUUGGUACUUGAUGCAGCGUCCUUUUUGAGGAUAUUAACUGGCUAUGUUUUGUGAAUAAACUUUUCAUUCAUUUUAGUAUCCUGAGAACCUGGAGGCUCGUCACUACCCCGGGUCAAAUCCAUACUCUUCGUCUGAAAUUAGUUCCGUGCAGGCUGCAUCUUUAUGACUUAACAGCUGAGCGUCCAGGAAAAACCAGGUGGGCCCAGUACAGCAGGACAGGUCCAGCAGAAUGGGGGCCUCUGUCACAGCAUGGGACUUUGGGAACAGGAUUAUAUUCCUUGAGAAUACUUGCAGGUGAAGGUGUUACCCUGGUUCUAGGUCAGCGCUGUCCAGUAGAAAUAUAAUGUGAGCCCCAUAUGUAAUUUUAAAUUUUCUAGUAGCCACAUUUUAAUAAGUAAAAUGAAACAGGAGGAAUUACCCUUAAUAAUUUAUUUGACCCAAUAUAUCCAACAGAUUAUCAUUCCCACGUGUAAUCAAUAUUUUUAAAUUCUUAAUGAGACAUUUUACAUUCUUUUAUUCUUACUAAAUCUAAAUUUAGACACAGCCUGUCUUACUUCGGUUGCUACAUUUGCAUCAGAAAUAUUUGAUCUGUAUUUAGAUUUUUAUAAAAUCUUCAAUCGAAAAUGUAGGUUCACCUUCCAAACAUACUUAGACGUUUUCCAAUAAUUGACUCAAGUACCAGUUUUUAAAUUUAAAUUAGUUUAAAUUAAAUAAAAAUUAGUUCCUCCGUCUCACUAGCCAUGUUUCAAGUGGUCAGUAGCCGACGUGGCCGUGGUGUUGGCCAGCCCAGUCCUAGAGGGAUGGAGGAGCAAGGCAGGUCUUAGAGACACAGCCUCAGGCAUGAGCCGGGUACCAGUUCUUGAGGUAAGGCAGGAGCCGGUCCUCCGAGCACACAGUUAGAGUGGGAGUGAAGAUGCUGAUUCCGUGUGCUAAGCCGGAGCUCCAAGAAAUCCUCACGGCCUGUGGUCACCUGGGCCUGGACCUGCAGGUAGAGAGCCGGUGGCCCCAGCCAUGGCGCAAGGAGGCUGGUCUAGACUGCAAAACAAGGGUCAGCCCUUUGCCAGGCUCCGCCCUGCCAUAUUCAAAACGCCGAUGAAGAGGACACUAACCAUCCCAGCAGUUAAUUAAAACUCAUCUAUCCCACCGUACCCCAAGGGGCUGGGAGCCUGAGGGAAGGCGAGAGGGGAGACGGACCACCUUUCCCUUCCUGCAGUCCUCCUCCUGGUCCAUUUUCCGGGCACAGAUGAAACCAGAGCAGCCAUGAGUUGAUAAUCGUGGGAGCUGAGUGAUGGGUGAGAAUGAUGCUUCUGGUCCUGGGACCACACUUUGAGAACCACUGCUCUACUCUCUGGAGAAAAGUCUGUGUAUGCCAGUGAGAAGGGUGCUCUGCUUCUGAAGAAAGAAAGAGAAACGUGAAGAAUUUAGAAAAAGAUGGAAUGCUCAGGGACCUGCCUCAUGCUGCCCAUCCUCCACACCAUCGCAAUUCCAGUCCUCCUGGAUUCCCCCUUCUAAAUAUUUCUGAAAGACCCCUGCUGAAGUCCAUGCUCACACAGGUCCAUCCUGGGCAGGGCUGUCGCCCCAGCCAGCCUGUGUCUGCAGAGGUUUGUGGUCGGUGGAUUUUUGCUCUCUACAGCUUUCCUCCCAGCAAUGGACGCAAGCCUCUCCUUUAAUUCUCCAAAGACAAACUCAUAGUAUUUAACAAACAUUUACUGAAGGUAUGGGGAUAACACAAAGAGAUAUCAAGGUAGAAAAGGAAAGCAAAAUUGGGUGUGAAGACUCUGGGGCCCGUGACUCUCCUAAGAGAGCACGCUGUGCCCUUAGGACUGGCUCUCUGGUUCCUGGGGCCCUGGACAAAUCCCUUUUAAUAGGCCAGUUUGCACCUGGCAAGAGGCUUUGUAUUAACUCCCCGGGACUGUUCAGGAGGUCACUUAGCAGGCCUGAGCAGCAGAAGCAAGUUCUUUUGAGGUGCAGAUGGUGACGGGUAUUGACAGGAACUGACGACUCAAAUGUUGAGUUGAAUUGAUUUUUUUCUUUUAAAAGAUUGGCACCUGAGCUAACAACCGUUGCCAAUCUUCUUUUUUUUCUCCCCCAAUCCCCCCAGUACAUAGUUGUGUAUUUUUAGUUGUGGGUCCUCCUAGUUGUGGCACGUGGGACGCCACCUCGACAUGGCCUGAUGAGCAGUGCCAUGUCCACGCCCAGGAUCCGAACUGGUGAAACCCUGGGCUGCCGAAAGCGGAGCGCACAAGCUUAACCACUCAGCCAGGGGGCCAGCCCCACGUUGUACUUAUUUUAAGAGAGGGGCUGACAAAGCAGCCACUGUUCAGUUUGCUGCCUAAAGUC
rnacentral:lncRNA from 1 species